rnacentral:rRNA from 1 species
AGUGAACGCUGGCGGUAGGCCUAACACAUGCAAGUCGAACGGCAGCACAGUAAGAGCUUGCUCUUACGGGUGGCGAGUGGCGGACGGGUGAGGAAUACAUCGGACUCUACUUUUUCGUGGGGGAUAACGUAGGGAAACUUACGCUAAUACCGCAUACGACCUACGGGUGAAAGCAUGGGAUCUUUGCACCUUGAGCGAUUGAAUGAGCCGCUGUCGUAUUAGCUAGUUGGCGGGGUAAAGGCCCACCAAGGCGACGAUCCGUAGCUGGUCUGAGAGGAUGAUCAGCCACCCUGGAACUGAGACACGGUCCAGACUCCUCCGGGAGGCAGCAGUGGGGAAUAUUGGACAAUGGGCGCAAGCCUGAUCCAGCUAUACCGCGUGGGUGAAGAAGGCCUUCGGGUUGUAAUGACCUUUUGUUGGGAAAGAAAAGCAGCAGGUUAAUACCCCGCUGUUCUGACGGUACCCAAAGAAUAAGCACCGGCUAACUUCGUG